rnacentral:rRNA from 1 species
UACGUAGGGGGCGAGCGUUGUCCGGAAUUAUUGGGCGUAAAGAGCUCGUAGGCGGCUUGGCAAGUCGGAUGUGAAAACUCCAGGCUCAACCUGGAGCCGCCAUUCGAUACUGCUAUGGCUAGAGUCCGGUAGGGGAGUGUGGAAUUCCCGGUGUAGCGGUGAAUGCGCAGAUAUCGGGAGGAACACCGAUGGCGAAGGCGAGCACUCUGGGCCGGCACUGGACGCUGA